UACGAAGGGGGCUAGCGUUGCUCGGAAUCACUGGGCGUAAAGCGCACGUAGGCGGGUCGUUAAGUCAGGGGUGAAAUCCUGGAGCUCAACUCCAGAACUGCCCCUGAUACUGGCGAUCUCGAGUUCGGGAGAGGUGAGUGGAACUGCGAGUGUAGAGGUGAAAUUCGUAGAUAUUCGCAAGAACACCAGUGGCGAAGGCGGCUCACUGGCCCGAUACUGACGCUGAGGUGCGAAAGCGUGGGGAGCAAACAGG
rnacentral:rRNA from 1 species